CGCCUUGCCAGCCCGCUCAGAAACUUAAAUGAAUUGACGGGACCCGCACAAGCGGUGGAUGAUGUGGAUUAAUUCGAUGCAACGCGAAAAACCUUACCUACCCUUGACAUGCCACUAACGAAGCAGAGAUGCAUUAGGUGCCCGAAAGGGAAAGUGGACACAGGUGCUGCAUGGCUGUCGUCAGCUCGUGUCGUGAGAUGUUGGGUUAAGUCCCGCAACGAGCGCAACCCUUGCCGAUAGUUGCUACGAAAGAGCACUCUAUCGGGACUGCCGGUGACAAACCGGAGGAAGGUGGGGAUGACGUCAAGUCCUCAUGGCCCUUAUGGGUAGGGCUUCACACGUCAUACAAUGGUCGGUACAGAGGGCUGCCAACCCGCGAGGGGGAGCUAAUCCCACAAAACCGAUCGUAGUCCGGAUUGGAGUCUGCAACUCGACUCCAUGAAGUCGGAAUCGCUAGUAAUCGUGGAUCAGCAUGUCACGGUGAAUACGUUCCCGGGCCUU
rnacentral:rRNA from 1 species